UGUAAAUAACACUGCAUUUAAAUUCAUCAAGGUAAUGGUUAACAUCGAAAUCAUAAUUUUGCCUCCAACAUUCCGGCCCCUGUAACUUCACAUGACUAUUACAACAGAUAUAAACGGAGCCAAUACACAUGAAAGUAUUGUUGUUCAUAACAAUGAUAGCAGCAUACAGUAUAUCAAUGUCCCUCUUCCUCUUGUCCCUUUUUUGCCUAGUUAACUCAUGAGUAUACAGUCCACAGUGUGUAUUGGUGUGCUUGUGUGAAGUGAAAGGGGGAAAUGGGGGGGUAGAGUUACAGUUCGUUUUGGGCCUCAACCAGCAGGAUCAGCUUAGUGAUGAGUCUGCGGAGUGUGCUAGUUUUUGUCAGCACUUGCACUUGCCGUUCGAAACCUUUUGAAUCUGGCAAGACUCUAAUGAUUUGUCCCAUGAUCCACAAGCCUCUUGGAGCAGUGUCGUCGAUGAUGAGGAUAAUGUCUCCUGUGACAACAUUUCAAAUUUUCUUGGCCCAUUUUUGUUGUACUUGGAGUUCGGUUUGAUAAGUGUUCCAGUUGUCCAGGCCUCCCUUGGUGCCCAUAGUGCGGGCGAUCCUGGACACCAGCAGACGGUUGUCCCUUUCCAGCUCCAUCAGGCGCUCCUGCUCCAUCUACAUACACCACGUUGGAUAAAGUUUUAGAUGACAGUGCAAGUAUGUCCUGGGAGCUUUGUUGUCCACCAUUGGUUUAGCUUCAA